rnacentral:lncRNA from 1 species
UUAUUUAUUCAAUUUAGAUCUUCAGUGGAAUCCUAUCAAGAUGCAUGCAUGAUUUCAAUCCAAUUUAGUUCACAUAAGCACAUAUUUCCCAACAGAUGUUUCAUUUAUGAAUAAUCAAUCCACUAAGCAUAGAUGUAAACAUGGAUUUCAACAAUUCUCACCAAGCAAGUGUUUCACUCAAUCUCUCAAGUGUUUAAAAGGUCACUCCACUCUUCUAUUGUUCACAUGUCACAUAAAACACAUUGCCAUUCAUCUAAAACAAUCAAAAUCCUCACAUGCAAAUGCCAUCACAAUGACUUUUCUAAGGCUUGUAAUGAGGUUGGGCUAUCAAGAAAAAUUUGGUUUUUCCGGAAUACAAAAUCCUUAAUUUAAAAGAGUUAUUUUAUGAUUCAAAGUUCAAGUACAAACUCUCUUUUUCACCAAUCUCACUCAUUCCCAACUUCUUCCCUUUUCUUUUGAUCUCAUCUUUCAUGCUUUUUCUUUUCUUCUUUUUCUUUUCUCAUGCAUUUUUCUUUUUAAACACUUGAGCUCAAUACUUUUCUUUUGCCUUUUCCCUCAAACAACCCCAAACUUGAACCUUUUCAACACAUACAAUUAUUCUCAACCCAACUCA